GUCAAACCUCAUUAACAAGAGCGAGGCCAUGAGCCCUGGACGGCUGAGGAGUCGGCCAGAGCACCGCUUCCUACAGGCAGCUUCCCACAGGCCAGCCCUGCUGGGGGCUCUGAGACGCCAGGAAGACUCUGUGAAGCUGUGGCUGGGGGGUUCUGGAGAGACCCUCCAGGAAGCACCGCUGCUGCUGGCUAAACUGGCCAGAAAGUCAGGGUAUAGUCAAACUCACCCAAAAGCACCUUUUUCCCAACAAAGCUUCACGUCGCACCAACUGACCAAGGAAAAUGUCUGCAUGUUCCCACUCCAGCUGUACAAGGCAGGGCAACGGUGGUGGGCUGAAAAGAAGCAAGGCCGUAAGUGGUUAAGCAGCACAAGGCAAAGGCCCAAUCUACUAACAAAGGGCAAACCUCGUUCUUCCCCCCAGGGAAUUUACCAAAACCGGCAGGACAGAGAGGCUCAGGCCUGGGCCUGUUUCCUUCCGGUAUCCACCCAAACCAGAUCCUCUUUUCUUCUAUCUUCCCAGCUUCCAGCCUUCCUUGCUUGCAGGACUCGCAUCUGCCACUCACAGGCCGGGCCAGCAGAUGAGCUUCUCCACCAGACACAGGCAUCCAACAUCUCCCUUUGUCUCCCACCUUCACUUAGAACGAACUCUUCACGUAAGGUGUUACCCAGAUUCUCUGAGCCCAAAACACCUAGGCGGUCUUGAAACUGACAGUAAUCAACAAGCCCACAACACCUGUAACCAGCCUUCUCUGUCCAAGCUCACUUGAAUUGUUUUCACAGAAAGCUACCCGUCCUCCUAGCAGCACUAACGUUAUGUUUCCCUGAGCUAUUUUUCAGAGCCUUGGAGUCAGCAGCAUCCAGUUCCAGCGCCCGCCAGUUAAGACGGGUGAGGACCAUGGACCCUCCAACUACAGGGCAUAAGCAAGUGUCUGCUCCUCUACCUUUUGACGUCAGAGGACUGAGAAAUGCCAUGCUCGGAAUAUGCUGGAGCCAGGCAUCUGUAGGCAAGUUGCACCUGUGCAGGAUGACUGUCUCACCUUUUUCCUAUCUCCAAUUACCUUUCUCCAAGUUCCCCACACCUCAACUUUAUCGCCUAAAUGUCCUGAGCCUGCAGGAAGGUGGAUCUGAGGUCUCUCAGCUCCUCACCUGGCUGCCUUGUGAAGAAACCUUCUCUGCUGCAAACCUCUCUGUCUCAGCGUUUGGCUUGCUGCGCGUUAGGAAAACAAGUCUGGUUCAGUUAACAGUCUCAUCCUGUCAACUUCUUUCUCAUUCAAUAAAGUCAUCAAAAUAAUUGAUGGACUUUGGAAUAGUGACCUCAAGUGAUGAAAACGCUGCCAAAGUCCUGUUAUGGAGAACAUUCGUUUUGGAGUUAGACAAACCAGUGCUAAAACUCUGGCUCCGGCAUCUGCCGAUUGUGUGUUCUUCAUAUAGAGAUUUUUAACCUUACUCUUCUGUAAAUUGGAGAUGUUUUGUUUUGUAAGGUUAUUUUAAGAAUUAUGAAAACAAGAUGCAUUUGUUCACCCAACAAAUAUUUAUUGAGCACAGCUACAUGCCAGACAUUUUCCUAAACACCAAAAGGGAAAACAAAAAAUUCCUUACAAAACUUUUGGAGGAUGCAAUUAAGGACAGACCUGUUAGAAGAUUUUGAUUUCAGAUUCAUGUGGGAAAACACCAUAAAGGGCAAGGAAAACCAACCUAAGAAAAAAGAAACCAUCAGAGGAUGCUUCUGAAUCCACUCCCACUUUUUGUUUAAAGAUACUAUGUUCCAAUUUUAAAGAAGUAAAAUCUCCUAUCUUUGUAGAUUCUGUGCCAUAGAUUACUUUCCCCCACAUAUCCCACCCUCCUUCUUGGAAAUGCUGUGUGUGUUGUUAGAAAACCCACGUAUAAACUUUAAAACGUUUGCUUUUCAG
ensembl:lncRNA